GUGGGGAAUAUUGGACAAUGGGCGCAAGCCUGAUCCAGCCAUGCCGCGUGAGUGAUGAAGGCCCUAGGGUUGUAAAGCUCUUUCACCGGUGAAGAUAAUGACGGUAACCGGAGAAGAAGCCCCGGCUAACUUCGUGCCAGCAGCCGCGGUAAUACGAAGGGGGCUAGCGUUGUUCGGAAUUACUGGGCGUAAAGCGCACGUAGGCGGACAUUUAAGUCAGGGGUGAAAUCCCAGAGCUCAACUCUGGAACUGCCUUUGAUACUGGGUGUCUUGAGUAUGGAAGAGGUAAGUGGAAUUCCGAGUGUAGAGGUGAAAUUCGUAGAUAUUCGGAGGAACACCAGUGGCGAAGGCGGCUUACUGGUCCAUUACUGACGCUGAGGUGCGAAAGCGUGGGGAGCAAACAGGAUUAGAAACCCCAGUAGUCC
rnacentral:rRNA from 1 species